rnacentral:misc_RNA from 1 species
GAGAUGAUGGCUACUACAUUUAUGGCUAUGAAUUUGAGUGCUCCGUUGAAGAAUGGGAAGAGUAUCGUCUGCAUGCCUUUGCCAUCGCCUUAUUGGGAUCCUUGGUUUUUCCUAAAUCAAGGGGAAGAACCGAUACAUGUCUAAGGUACGUGGUUUGAUACCUAGCUCAAAGAGGGGGCGAUCCUAGGAAAACCAUAGUGCCCAUGAUUCUAGCGGAGAUAAUGAGGAGUCUGCCAGUAUGUGUUGAUGGUAGAAUGUUCUUCAAAGGAUGCAACCUUCUACUUCAACUAUGGGCUAUCGAUCACUUCCACGAGUGAUCUGACGUGGUAGAUACAUAUCUUGGCCAAGGAAACAAGAUUGAUAACCAUCCAAAAAGGUUGGCACGUUUUGCCGCACCUGUAGGAUUUGUGGACUGGCAGAUAUUUCUGACUAAGCUUGAGAGCUACCGAAUUCAGUGGAAGCUUCAUUGGUUGUCCACGCCUAAUGUCAUAGUAAUAGGGGAAGACUGAUACUUCAUCGAUCUUAUUGGAUUAAAAGGUGUCCAACCA